AAAAGUACUUACAUCCUCCAUUCAACAACAUUGAAAAGUUGGCAGCGGCAGUUAAGAUAAGAAACGGCCGAAAAAACACAAAAAUGUUAAAAUUUUUAAUGAUUUGCUUUUUUGCUCUUGUCACUAUCGCCGCCGGAAAGCCCCAAUGGAUAAUACCUAGCACUUACACCGUUCCUGUGACUGCCAUUGCUGCACCAUCAGUCGCCUUAGCAGCUCCCACAUACGUUGAGCCAUACUACACCUCAUAUGCAGUUACACCGUGGUGGUCGUCGUAUGCCGCAUAUCCACAUGCUGGCUCCUACUGGUGAAUGUUUGCUUUCGGGAGAUUCCGCAAGUUCCAAUAACAACGAAUUUUAUUACAAAAUUUUUACGGAAUGAUGUAUCUAUAGUUUCGAACAAUAACCGCCUAAGACAAUCUAAGAAGUUAUAUAUGCAAUCGUUUUCUAACAACAAAAGUAUAUAUUUACGUGAAAUCCA